rnacentral:lncRNA from 1 species
CUGGUAGGCUGGGGCGAGAGUAGAGGACCAGGGAGCUCCAGUCAGUAUAGUACAGAGAGUGGCUGGGCUGGUGGAGGGAGAGUAGAGGGACUGGGGAGCUCCAGUCUAGUGGUACAGAGAGUGGCUGGCUGGCUGG